AAUUGGACAGCACUGCAUUAGCAUAUUAAAAACAGAGGAGUCGGAGAAUUUAUCUACCAACUCCACAGCCCUGGUUUAAAUGACUUUAAUGACUUGAACCUUCCUUAUUUUAUUUUUCAUAAUGACAAAAUCCAAGUUAUUUCCCUCAGAUAUAUCUCUGAUCUCUAUCCUUCCCUUUAGCAGCCUGUGAGUAUAAAGAUGGGAGCGAUGUUACAGCACAUACGGAAGCAACUUUAUGUUGUAAUAAUGAUGGGAAUCUCACAAACCCUGAUGUUUCUUCAGCGGAACAGCCCCCACCGGCCGAUGGGAUUAAAGAGGAGGCGGUUUCAUGUGGAGAGAGAAACCAAUCAGAUUACAGCAUUAAUCCCCUUACAGAACAGAUACAGGGAACAGACACACCUACUCCUAUCAUGGGGUGCAGGCUGAAUAACAGCUCGGCAGUUAAUUAUGCAUCAAAUGAUGUAAAGGAGGAGUUAAUUUCUUCAUGGGAAGGGGGAAACCAAUCAGAUUGCAGCAUUAAUCCCCUUACAGACCAGAUACAGGGAACAAAUACUCCUAUCAUGGGGAGCAGCCAGAAUACUUUACAAAUGAUGGAUAAUAAUCAUGAUGAAAAUUCCCACAUAACAGAAAAUACAUUACGUAGGAAAUACAGCUGCAAUGAGUGUCAGAUACAUUUUAGUAAUAAGAGCGACUUUCAUAAACACCAGAGAACCCACAAAAGAAAGAAACUUUUUCCUUGUUCUGAUUGUGGGAAAUGUUUUUCAAACCAAUAUAGCCUUAUUACUCAUCAAAGGACUCACACAGGGGAGAAACCAUUUUCAUGUUCUGAUUGUGGGAAAGGUUUUUCAAAACGAUAUAGCCUUAUUACUCAUCAAAGGACUCACACAGGGGAGAAACCAUUUUCAUGUUCUGAAUGUGGGAAAGGUUUCACAAACCAAUCAUACCUUAAAGCUCAUCAUAUAACCCACAUGGGGGUGAAACCAUUUUCAUGUUCUGAAUGUGGAAAAUGUUUCACAAACCAAUCAUACCUUAAAGUUCAUCACAGAACCCACACAGGGGAGAAACCAUUUUCAUGUUCUGAUUGUGGGAAAAGUUUUUCAAAACGAUAUAACCUUAUUACUCAUCAAAGCACUCACACAGGGGAGAAACCAUUUUCAUGUUCUGAAUGUGGAAAAUGUUUCACAAACCAAUCAUACCUUAAAGCUCAUCAUAAAACCCACAUGGGGGUGAAACCAUUUUCUUGUUCUGAAUGUGGGAAAUGUUUUUUAAAGCAAUUCCGCCUUAAACUUCAUUAUAGAACCCACACAGGGGAGAAACCAUUUUCAUGUUCUGAAUGUGGGAAAUGUUUUUCAAAGCAAUCCUAUCUUACAAUUCAUUAUAGAACCCACACAGGGGAGAAACCAUUUUCUUGUUCUGAAUGUGGGAAAUGUUUUUCACAGCAAUCCCAUCUUAAAUUUCAUUAUAAAACCCACACAGGGGCGAAACCAUUUUCUUGUUCUGAAUGUGGGAAAUGUUUUUCAAAGCAAUCCCAUCUUAAAAUUCAUUAUAGAGCUCACACAGGGGAGAAACCAUUUUCUUGUUCUUAAUGUGGGAAAUGUUUUUUUAAGAAAAUCUCAUCUAAAUCUUCAUCAAAGGACUCACAAAGUGGAGAAACCAUGUUCCUAGUGUAAAUGAGUUAAAUGAUUUGCAUUGAACAGUUGUCUAAAAAUACUUUAACAACGAGGAAAACCGUAAACUCGUUAUACAAAGGGAGCAUCAGGCAAACAUUUUCUUUCAAGCAGAUUCCAUCUUAAUAUAUGUUUCAGUAUUUACAGAGAGGAACACAUUUGUGCCCCAUAAAAUAUUUCCUUAAGAGAAUCCUAAAGACUCCUGAUGGGCACUGGGCAAUUCUGAGA